ACUGUAGGUAUUGUAUAUGUGUUUUCACUGUUCAUUAAUGUACACACAAGUGUGCAAGCGCACUCUAGACAAGUGGAACAGGUUAAAUACAUCUGACAUGUAUCUACAUAUAUAUAUUAAAUGUAUCUGAACAGUUGUCGGCCACUCCACUCUACCACAUGUGCAGAUAUAUUUGAAAAUACUUUUUAGAAUCGGUUCUAAACAUUGCUGUGGCGAUUCUUAGAAGUGCACUCAGAUUAUUUGUGAAUGUAAACACAGAUAAGCCUUGGGUUGACUGGUGACUGGGUUUGUUCUAUCUAUCUAUCUAUCAGAGCGCAUUGCGUAAUACACAAAUAUUCAUAUUUAUGUGUGUCCAAACCGAACAGAAUUAUACGGUUCUCACAGCGAUCUGCUUGUUGGAGGGGAGACCCGACCCAGACUCAAAGCCAUGACGGCAUCACACAAAACGUAACGAAACAAAUUGUUGGCCAUGACUGAUGAUGGGUUGAUGUUGAUCUACCAGUCGGCCGGUUUCUUGCCAGCCAGCAGUCGACCGGCGGGGCCCCAGUGAGCGGUUGAUUAAAUCGUAGAUCCAACAGAUCCAAAACCAGCCAGUUGCAACGUUCUCUGUUCUCUGUUCUCUCUUUCUCUUUGUUGAUUUGUAUUUCUGCUUUUUCCCCCUUUUGUCUGCGUUUUGUGGGUUUUUCGGUAUAAAUGUUCGAUAAGGUGAGUGUUUGUGCGGCGACUGGCUAGCUUUUAUAAUUAUUGUGACGUAUAUGGUCUGUUAUCGCAUACAAAAAUUCCUGUACAGUUUUUCCUUAUUUAGUUUCUUGGUAUCCACAACUCCAAGCAUGCAAGAAAACCAUGAAUUAGUUCUCAAGUAUCGCUUCUAAUCUAGAAUUUAUAAUCGGAGUAGAAUGCUUAAUGUUUGGUCUAGUACGGAAGGCUUUGGAAUAAAGUUGAAACUUAAUAAAGUAUGUACAAAUUGUUA